rnacentral:lncRNA from 1 species
GCGGCAACAGGCCCACUAACAGGCCCAACUCAGCCAAUUGGUCCAACCAUUCACAGGCCCAACUAAGCCUGAACCGGGACCGCGUCGGUAUUCCUCCCGGGGUCAACCUCUACGGCGAUGACUCCUCCCCCUUGACAGGGUUCUCUCCUUCGCCCAUCGAUCAUAGACGGAGAAUCGCAAUAUCGUAAUGAAACUGCGGCUUUCGAAUCCUGAUGAAACGCGAAUCGAGAAGCCAUGACGAAACAGAGCUUGUGAAAUCCCGAUGAACGCGAAACCUAGUGAAACGGAGCUUGUGAAACCAAUGAAUGCGAAAUUCGAUUUUGAGUACGCCCUAAUUUUGGGACCAAAGACUUGGUUAUAAAAAACAACUAUUUAUUUUAACUUUUCGUUCAAAAUAAAAUGCUUGUAAAGUCCUUUAUAGCCUUAACUAAUUUUAGAAGCUACAAACAUAGUCGGAUUGUCCAUUAGGCCCGGGGAUAUCCAUAAAUGGUAAUGCACCUAGAUACAUUCUUAUAGGAAGUCAGAGUCAGCGAGCGUCAAGAUAUAGUUACUAUCAUGAAAACAUAAUAUAACUUUGCAAAUAUGAAGGAUUAGCAAAAUAUUGUUGACAAAAUUGAGUGAAUUUAUGGCUUACUCUUCAGAGUUUUGCAGAGUGCAGCUUCGGUCAAGUGCAUUAGGAAGGAACAUAUAUAAAACAUAUUAAUAUUCUCUUUGGGUAAUGUUAGAAAGAAAAUCAAAAGGAUAUUGAUAGGAUAGGUACAAUAUAUUUCGUGACAAAACGUGACUAUUUUAGUUACGAUAUUUUCACGACAAAAUCGUGGUUUUUCGACUCUGAUUAGUAUGAUUUAAAAUGGCUACGAACAUAUAGCCACAAUUUUUUUUGUGGCUUUUCGUAGUUAACUCUUCAUAUACCCAUAAAAAUUUUCUAUAGCUACAAAAUGGCUAUAGCCAAUUUUUGUACUAGUGUUUUUUAUACUAAUUGUAAGUUCAGAGGGUUUAGUGACAAUUUUUCUUAUGUUACAACUGGAUUUUUGGUUUGUUAAUUGGAUUAUAUUGUCAAGAUCAUCUUGUUAAAGUUAUUAUUUUCACAUUUUAUUUUACCAAAUAGAAUACCUAUACAAAAAUAUGGAAAAAAUACAUAAUUGUUGGAUAUGGGCCUCACUAAGUACCAAGGCCCAGGAGCUAACUCGGCCCGAUCCCAAAACUGAGCCCAUGACAGGAGCGACGUGACAAAGCCCAGAAAAGGAAGCAAGGCCCGCGCCGAAUGCCAUCAUCACAUCGGGGUAAGCGGUUCACCAACUCCCUGAGACGACCUGAAAACACGCCACCGAACGACAGGAAGGAAUAUGCCGAGACUCCUACCACGGCGCCGAACCUACUCACUGACAAUUCGCCGAUCACUGUAGCGGGUCAGAAAAUAAUCAUAACGCAUCCACAAAACCACGCAACUAAAGUCUAUAAAAAGAGGAAAAAAGAUUACGAAGAGGGGGCAGCGAAAUAGAGAAAGAAAGACUAGAGAGAUAAAGUAGAGAGCAUCCCGAGUUCGUCUUUACGACUACAAGUUCUUCUUUUAUUCUUCGCUUCGGCUUUUUGUAAACACUUCAUUAAAGAAAUCUUUGGCCCCAUUAAUCAUACUUAUAUCUUUGUUUAGUCUAUAAAUCCCUUGUUACUGGAUUUAGGAUUCAACAAUAAUCAUACAUUAAAAACAAACAUAGAAUACUAAAAGCAAAAAAAAAACAACCACAUAUACAACUAAGGAAAAGUAGAAAGAGAAGCCAGUCCAGUGAGGUGAAGAUAUGGUUGGAUCCAAGUGAGGUAGCUUGUAACACCUCAAUCCAGACACUAAGUUGAUAAGUUCGGAAAAGUUCCUAUGGUUCGACCAAGAGCAAAUAAAGCCUAAUAGUUCACCUUUUAAGACCUGUUAUUCUUAAGUAAAGUAUAUUAUGUGAUUCAUGUGACAGAGUCUAAACGUCUGUAUAUUAAAGUCAAUAGGAUAAACAGAUCUUUUAUUUAUUUCACAAAGAAUUCGUUACAACCCGAGUUUGCCGUAAGGCUAUUACAAAGUAAACGAUCCAAAUCACUCUAUCAAACUAUCCAUCCAUCUUUGGCUUCGAGUCUUCACGGCUAAGCCAGUUUCUUCCCACGAUCACUUACGGUUCAUGAAACCAACAAUUACAUAAGGAAUCUAUCGAUAACUUAAUGAGUUAGUUUUCAACGCAUGCAUGUUAUGUUCGGAAUCUUUCUACGUCUAACCCGAGUUUCCCUUAUAACUCUCGACUUUCACAGUCAACUUGGCGUGCCAGUAAAGUUCGGUUUUCAGAUCUAGAUCGAUCCAACUAACCACCAAACCAUCCCAAAACACUCAUAAUUUGAUCAAGCUUAUCGGCUAUGAUCCUCAAUCAAUCGCAUCCCGGCCUUAAGCCAUGGACUUCGUGAUCAAACCGGCUUACAGCCAUGGUCUAUACUCGCCCUAAUUCCCUUCACUUGCCUCCCCUAAAUACUCUUUUUCUCUCCUUCUUCUUACAAACUUAGAUCUCUCUCACUCUCCUUUUUUGAAACUAACUUAGAUCUCUUUUUUCAAUUAAAACAUGUAAGUUGUGUGUGAUGCUAUUAUAGUUAUGCAUGUAUCAUAUCUUUUGUUUAGUUUAGGUUUUGAAAUUUUAUAAUUAGAGAUUUUAUGGGCUAGAAAUAAGUUAGAUCUAUUAGGUUGUGUUUGAUUUAGGUUAUAUUUAGAAGAAAAAUAGAAUCAAGUACUAAUAAGAAGAUAAUGAACCAAAGAAUAUUUAUCAAUUAAGGACCGGCCCUGAGAAGAAGAUGACCAAAUACACAACUGGUACGAGCAAGAACUUACAACAAUCAAUCAAAUCACAAAAGAACGAAGUCGAGUUAAGAAGAUGAUGAACAAUAAUAAUGUUUAUCAAUUAAGACUCAGAAGGAGAUGAACAAAUAUACAAGAACUUGCAACAAAAUCGAAUUAAGAAGAAGCACAAGAAGAACGAGCUCAAAUUUACGAAGAAGACGACUUACAGAAAGAAAGAAGAGCAAUGCUAACUCUACUUACGAAUUACUUGAAAGAGGAAGAUGCUAACCGAAAAAUAACUAGCAAUUACGACUAACCAAGAACGGACUCUUGAAAAGAUUGAGAGAGGGAAAGGUCACGAACCGUAUUGAUUAUAUAAAUCGGCGGCAACAGGCCCACUAACAGGCCCAACUCAGCCAAUUGGUCCAACCAUUCACAGGCCCAACUAAGCCUGAACCGGGACCGCGUCGGUAUUCCUCCCGGGGUCAACCUCUACGGCGAUGACUCCUCCCCCUUGACAGGGUUCUCUCCUUCGCCCAUCGAUCAUAGACGGAGAAUCGCAAUAUCGUAAUGAAACUGCGGCUUUCGAAUCCUGAUGAAACGCGAAUCGAGAAGCCAUGACGAAACAGAGCUUGUGAAAUCCCGAUGAACGCGAAACCUAGUGAAACGGAGCUUGUGAAACCAAUGAAUGCGAAAUUCGAUUUUGAGUACGCCCUAAUUUUGGGACCAAAGACUUGGUUAUAAAAAA